AACUAACGCUGGCGGCGCGUCUUAAACAUGCAAGUCGAACGAGAACCCUGGUGCUUGCAUUAGGGGGAAAGUGGCGAACGGGUGAGUAACACGUGGAUAAUCUACCUUUGGGAUGGGGACAACAUCGCGAAAGUGGUGCUAAUACCGAAUAAGGUGGUUGUAUCAUAAGAUAUAGUCAUGAAAGGGUGGGGACCUUCGGGCCCACUGCCUGGAGAUGAGUCCGCGGCUGAUUAGCUUGUUGGUGGGAACGGCCUACCAAGGCGACGAUCAGUAGCCGGCCUGAGAGGGUGAACGGCCACAUUGGGACUGAGACACGGCCCAGACUCCUACGGGAGGCAGCAGUUAAGAAUCUUGCGCAAUGGACGAAAGUCUGACGCAGCGACGCCGCGU
rnacentral:rRNA from 1 species